rnacentral:rRNA from 1 species
CCUACGGGCGGCAGCAGUGGGGGAUAUUGCACAAUGGGGGAAACCCUGAUGCAGCGACGCCGCGUGGGUGAAGAAGCGCCUCGGCGCGUAAAGCCCUGUCAGCAGGGAAGACAAUGACGGUACCUGAAGAAGAAGCCCCGGCUAACUACGUGCCAGCAGCCGCGGUAAUACGUAGGGGGCAAGCGUUAGCCGGAUUUACUGGGUGUAAAGGGGGCGCAGACGGCGAUGCAAGCCAGGAGUGAAAGCCCGGGGCCCAACCCCGGGACUGCCCUUGAAACUGCGUGGCUAGAGUGCAGGAGGGGCGGGCGGAAUUCCUGGUGUAGCGGUGAAAUGCGUAGAGAUCAGGAGGAACACCGAUGGCGAAGGCGGCCUGCUGGACUGCAACUGACGUUGAGGCCCGAAAGCGUGGGGAGCAAACAGGAUUAGAUACCCCAGUAGUC